rnacentral:rRNA from 1 species
CGUCUCAUGAGUCAUGAGGUAAAACCUGCUCCAUGCGUAAGUAAAUAGCUGCGGUAUUUUGACCGUGCUAAGGUAGCAUAAUCAUUUGUCUUUUAAUUGAAGGCUAGUAUGAAAGGUAAAACGAGGGGAUGGCUGUCUCUAAAAAAAAUCUAUGAAUUUUACUUUUGAGUGCAAAGGCUCAUAUGCUUCUGAGGGACGAUCAGACCCUAUAGAGCUUUUUGGUUGGGGCGACUGGGGGUUUUAGAUACCACCUCUUUUUUAGAACACUUUUUAGUGUAUAUUUGAUCCCAAUAGAUGGAUUUAAAGACUAAGUUACCUUAGGGAUAACAGCGUUAUUUUUUUGGAGAGUUCAUAUCGAUAAAAAGGAUUGCGACCUCGAUGUUGGAUUAAGAGAUCAGGAAGGUGCAAAAGCUUUUCUAGAAAGUCUGUUCGACUUUUUAUAUCUUACA